UACGAAGGGGGCAAGCGUUGUUCGGAAUUACUGGGCGUAAAGGGCGCGUAGGCGGCUUAUCAAGUCAGGCGUGAAAUCCCCGGGCUCAACCUGGGAACUGCAUCUGUGACUGCAUCGCUGGAGUGCGGCAGAGGGGGAUGGAAUUCCGCGUGUAGCAGUGAAAUGCGUAGAUAUGCGGAGGAACACCGAUGGCGAAGGCAAUCCCCUGGGCCUGCACUGACGCUCAUGCACGAAAGCGUGGGGAGCAAACAGG
rnacentral:rRNA from 1 species